CCUACGGGAUGCAGCAGUGGGGAAUUUUGGACAAUGGGCGCAAGCCUGAUCCAGCAAUGCCGCGUGCAGGAUGAAGGCCUUCGGGUUGUAAACUGCUUUUGUACGGAACGAAAAGGCUCUGGUUAAUACCUGGGGCUCAUGACGGUACCGUAAGAAUAAGCACCGGCUAACUACGUGCCAGCAGCCGCGGUAAUACGUAGGGUGCGAGCGUUAAUCGGAAUUACUGGGCGUAAAGCGUGCGCAGGCGGUUUUGUAAGACAGAGGUGAAAUCCCCGGGCUCAACCUGGGAACUGCCUUUGUGACUGCAAAGCUGGAGUGCGGCAGAGGGGGAUGGAAUUCCGCGUGUAGCAGUGAAAUGCGUAGAUAUGCGGAGGAACACCGAUGGCGAAGGCAAUCCCCUGGGCCUGCACUGACGCUCAUGCACGAAAGCGUGGGGAGCAAACAGGAUUAGAAACCCCGGUAGUCC
rnacentral:rRNA from 1 species